CAUAAAUGACUCUCGGCAACGGAUAUCUCGGCUCACGCAUCGAUGAAGAACGUAGCAAAAUGCGAUACUUGGUGUGAAUUGCAGAAUCCCGUGAACCAUCGAGUUUUUGAACGCAAGUUGCGCCCGAAGCCUUUUGGCUGAGGGCACGUCUGCCUGGGCGUCACAC
rnacentral:rRNA from 1 species